UACAGAGGGGGCAAGCGUUGUUCGGAAUUACUGGGCGUAAAGGGCGCGUAGGCGGCCUGCUAAGUCGAACGUGAAAUCCCUGGGCUCAACCCAGGAACUGCGUCCGAUACUGGUUGGCUUGAAUCCGGGAGAGGGACGUGGAAUUCCCGAUGUAGCGGUGAAAUGCGCAGAUAUCGGGAAGAACACCUAUGGCGAAGGCAGCUCUCUGGGACGGUACUGACGCUGAGACGCGAAAGCGUGGGGAGCGAACAGG
rnacentral:rRNA from 1 species